rnacentral:rRNA from 1 species
UGGGGAAUAUUGGUCAAUGGACGGAAGUCUGAACCAGCCAAGUAGCGUGCAGGAUGACGGCCCUAUGGGUUGUAAACUGCUUUUGUAUGGGGAUAAAGUUAGGGACGUGUCCCUAUUUGCAGGUACCAUACGAAUAAGGACCGGCUAAUUCCGUGCCAGCAGCCGCGGUAAUACGGAAGGUCCAGGCGUUAUCCGGAUUUAUUGGGUUUAAAGGGAGCGUAGGCUGGAGAUUAAGUGUGUUGUGAAAUGUAGACGCUCAACGUCUGAAUUGCAGCGCAUACUGGUUUCCUUGAGUACGCACAACGUUGGCGGAAUUCGUCGUGUAGCGGUGAAAUGCUUAGAUAUGACGAAGAACUCCGAUUGCGAAGGCAGCUGACGGGAGCGCAACUGACGCUUAAGCUCGAAGGUGCGGGUAUCAAACAGG